CCAUAUACAGCUGCAAACAAUUCUACGUACACUUACAUAGAGAGUUACAUAUAUAUAUAUAUAUAUAUAUAUAUAUAUUUAUAUAUAUAUAUAUAUAUGUAACUCUCUAUGUAAGUGUACGUAGAAUUGUUUGCAGCUGUAUAUGG